AGAGUUUGAUCAUGGCUCAGAACGAACGCUGGCGGCAUGCCUAACACAUGCAAGUCGAACGAAGCCUUCGGGCUUAGUGGCGCACGGGUGCGUAACACGUGGGAAUCUGCCCUUCGGUUCGGAAUAACAGUUAGAAAUGACUGCUAAUACCGGAUGAUGACGUAAGUCCAAAGAUUUAUCGCCGAAGGAUGAGCCCGCGUAGGAUUAGGUAGUUGGUAGGGUAAUGGCCUACCAAGCCGACGAUCCUUAGCUGGUCUGAGAGGAUGAUCAGCCACACUGGGACUGAGACACGGCCCAGACUCCUACGGGAGGCAGCAGUGGGGAAUAUUGGACAAUGGGCGAAAGCCUGAUCCAGCAAUGCCGCGUGAGUGAUGAAGGCCUUAGGGUUGUAAAGCUCUUUACCAGGGAUGAUAAUGACAGUACCUGGAGAAUAAGCUCCGGCUAACUCCGUG
rnacentral:rRNA from 1 species